rnacentral:misc_RNA from 1 species
UUAAGUUCAGCGGGUCUUCCUACCUGAUCCGAGGUCAACCUUGGGUAAAUAAGGCUUUUAACGGCCGGAACCCGCAGCACGCCCUGAGCGAGAUGUAUUAUUACGCUCGGAGUGACUAGUGAGCCCGCCACUGGUUUUCAGGGCUGCGGCAGCCGCAGGUUUCCAACACAAGCCGGGGGCUUGAUGGUUGAAAUGACGCU